rnacentral:rRNA from 1 species
CCGUUAAUUGUCGAUAACGAACGAAGACCUUAACCUGCUAAAUAAGCCAGGCAAGCUUUGGCUGGUCGCCGGCUUCUUAGAGGGACUAUCGGCUCAAGCCGAUGGAAGUUUGAGGCAAUAACAGGUCUGUGAUGCCCUUAGAUGUUCUGGGCCGCACGCGCGCUACACUGACAGAGCCAACGAGUUUCUUCCUUGUCCGAAAGGUCUGGGUAAUCUUGUUAAACUCUGUCGUGCUGGGGAUAGGGCAUUGCAAUC